rnacentral:rRNA from 1 species
AGUGAACGCUGGCGGUAGGCCUGACACAUGCAAGUCGAACGGCAGCACAGUAAGAGCUUGCUCUUACGGGUGGCGAGUGGCGGACGGGUGAGGAAUACAUCGGAAUCUACUUUUUCGUGGGGGAUAACGUAGGGAAACUUACGCUAAUACCGCAUACGACCUACGGGUGAAAGCAGGGGAUCUUCGGACCUUGCGCGAUUGAAUGAGCCGAUGUCGGAUUAGCUAGUUGGCGGGGUAAAGGCCCACCAAGGCGACGAUCCGUAGCUGGUCUGAGAGGAUGAUCAGCCACACUGGAACUGAGACACGGUCCAGACUCCUACGGGAGGCAGCAGUGGGGAAUAUUGGACAAUGGGCGCAAGCCUGAUCCAGCCAUACCGCGUGGGUGAAGAAGGCCUUCGGGUUGUAAAGCCCUUUUGUUGGGAAAGAAAGGCAGCAGGUUAAUACCCCGCUGUUCUGACGGUACCCAAAGAAUAAGCACCGGCUAACUUCGUG